rnacentral:piRNA from 1 species
GUUCAAGAGCCUUCCUUGCGAUCGGGGUU